rnacentral:rRNA from 1 species
UACAGAGGGUGCAAGCGUUAAUCGGAAUUACUGGGCGUAAAGCGUGCGUAGACGGUUAUUUAAGUCAGGUGUGAAAGCCCAGGGCUCAACCUUGGAAUUGCAUUUGAGACUGAAUAGCUAGGGUGCGGAAGAGGGAAGCGGAGUUUCCGGUGUAGCGGUGAAAUGCGUAGAUAUCGGAAGGAACACCAGUGGCGAAAGCGGCUUCCUGGUCCAGCACCGACGUUCAGGCACGAAAGCGUGGGGAGCAAACAGG